UACAGAGGUCCCAAGCGUUGUUCGGAUUCACUGGGCGUAAAGGGUGCGUAGGUGGCUGGGUAAGUUUGAUGUGAAAUCUCCGGGCUUAACCCGGAAAUGGCAUUGAAUACUAUUCGGCUAGAGGUUUGGAGGGGGGACUGGAAUUCUCGGUGUAGCAGUGAAAUGCGUAGAUAUCGAGAGGAACACCAGUGGCGAAGGCGAGUCCCUGGACAACACCUGACACUGAGGCACGAAAGCUAGGGGAGCGAUCCGG
rnacentral:rRNA from 1 species